GAUGAACGCUAGCGGCAGGCCUAAUACAUGCAAGUCGAGCGCGCCCUUCGGGGUGAGCGGCGGACGGGUGAGUAACGCGUGGGAAUAUGCCCUUCUCUAAGGAAUAGCCUCUGGAAACGGAGAGUAAUGCCAUAUAACAUCAUAGUGUCGCAUGACACAUUGGUCAAAGAUUUAUCGGUAUGGGAUGGACCCGCGUCUGAUUAGCUAGUUGGUAAGGUAAUGGCUUACCAAGGCGACGAUCAGUAGCCGACCUGAGAGGGUGAUCGGCCACACUGGAACUGAGACACGGUCCAG
rnacentral:rRNA from 1 species